UUACCUUGUUGUUCACUGAAGUCAUGAAUCCUACUGUGUGGCUCGCCUCCCUUACGGUUAGGCCUUCACUUCUGGUAAAACCCACUCAUGAACAACGACGGGCGGUGUGUACAAGACCCGGGGAACGUAUUCACCGCGACAUGCUGAUCCACGAUUGCACUAGCGAUUCCGACUUCACGCAGUCGAGUUGCAGACUUUGAUCAGGACUACGAUCGGACUUCACAGGAUUGGCUCCUCGCGGGUUGGCGACCCUCUGUCCCGGCAUUGUACGCUGACGUCGAAGGCCCUACCCAUAAAGGCCGCCAGGGGCUGACGUCAUCCCCACCUUCCUCCGGUUUAUGCCGGCGAUCUCAUUAGGUGCCCUUUCGUAGCAACCAACGACAAGGGUUGCCGCUCGUUGCAGGACUUAACCCCAGCAUCCACCACGACACGAGCUGACGACAGCCAUGCGGCACCUGUGUUCCGGUUCUCUUGCGGCUUUACUCCAAAUCUCUUCGGGAUUUGGAGCAUGUAUCUGGUGAUGGUUUUUGGUGCAUCAGACCAGUAUCAUCAUCACCGCUUGUGCAGGUCCCGUCAAUUCCUUUGUUUUAAAUCUUGCGACCGUACUCCCCGAGCGGUCAAACUUUACGCGAUUAGCUGCGCUACCAGGCCAGAAGGCCCCAACAGCUAGUUGACAUCUGCGUUUGGGCGUGGACUGCAGGGUAUCUAAUCCUGUUUUGCUCCUUUCAGUAUGACGUCGAUGUUAUCCCAGGAGGCUGCCUUCGCCAUCUAGGUGUUCUCCGCAUAUCACAUUUUCACUGCUACACGCGGAAUUCACCUCCACUCUGGCGCUUACACUCUAGCUCCGGUAGUUAAAGUAAGUUCCAAAGUUAAGCUCUGGUUCAUCUUUUUCUUUUCCAGACACCCUGCGCACGCUUUACGCCCAGUAAUUCCGAUUAACGCUUGCACAGCUAUUACCACGGCUGCUGGCACAUGUGCGCCGGUGCUUAUUCUUACCCGUUCGUCAGUUGCACGGGGUAUUAUCCCGUGCCGUUUUCUUCCUGCCAAAGUGCUUUACAACCGAAAGGCCUUCCAUCUCUUGCAGGGAUGGCUGCGGAUCAGGUUUUGUUGUCCAUUCCCCACUGCACCUGCCUCCGCAAAGUCUGGCCAAUGUCAGUCCCAAGUGUGGCUGGUCAUUCUCUCACGACAACACGGAUCGUCAUGUGGUGAGCGAACAUACCCCACCAACUUUAGCUAAUCCGAUAUCGACCGCUCCUAACAGGCACCCGAGGCCCGAAGGUCCCCGCUUUCCCCCGAAGGAGCGUGUGCGGUAAACAGCUGCAACUUUCGCGUAGUUAUCCCGCUACUAUGGGCACGUUCCGGUAAUGCAUUACUCACCCGUUCGCCACUCGCCUGGAGCAAGAAGAUCAGUGCACCGUUCGACUUGCACUUCUGUAAAGCAUCCAUAACGUUCAAUCGUGCGACC
rnacentral:rRNA from 1 species